GCACGCAUGAUUGAUUACAAACUGAUGUAGUGAUUGCUAACCAAUUAUCCUUGGCCACAAUAUCAGUAUGUGACUAAUGUUAUUCCUCCGGUUGCAGGUUCUGGUGGAUCAUGCGGACUUCCUCAAGGAACUCCACUGAAGACGAGCAGGCUCAAAUUGUGUCGCGAGGAGGCAAACCUUAUGUUAGCAAUGGUCUGUGUGAUUGUAAUAAAACAAACCUUGUGUAGUAGCAAUGGUCUGUGUGUGAUGAUGUAAUAAAAGGGCAGCCUCUUCCGCUCGACGAACAUGCGGUGAUUGACCUAGCGUUAUCAAGUUGCUUGCAGUUUGAUUGUCACCACAAAGGUGAUUGUUAGUUCUUGAUAAACAUGAACUGGGGACUAGAUUGUGAGAGGUGAUUAGUAUAGUGCGGGAAAAGGAGGAAGAUGCACACCUACAGCGUAUACUAUACCCGAUUUCUACAGAGAGAAAGAAAAGAUCACCCUG
rnacentral:lncRNA from 1 species